CGCAGCUCCCCUAGUCAGGGUGUGAGGAGACCGCGACUGGGGACCCGAGGGAUCGACGGCUAUUCUCAGAGGAGUGAUGAGAAAACUGAUCCCCAGAGAGGUUCAGUGAUUUGCCCAAGAUCACACAGAAUGCAGGUUAGAACUCCAGAGAAAAUGUCCACCGAAUGGUCUUCUUGGACAAACCUGUCAACCAUUCAGAAAAUAGCACUGGGCCUUGGAAUUCCAGCCAGCCUGACUGUUGCUUAUAUCCUCUACCGAAGGUAUAGAGAAAGCCGAGAAGAACGGCUGACAUUCGUUGGGGAAGAUGAUAUUGAGGUGGAGAUGCGGGUCCCCCAAGAGGCUGUGAAGCUGAUUAUUGGCCGGCAAGGAGCUAAUAUUAAACAAUUGAGGAAACAGACUGGUGCUCGUAUUGAUGUGGACACAGAAGAUGUAGGUGAGGAGCGGGUGCUGCUCAUCAGUGGCUUUCCUGUCCAGGUUUGCAAAGCCAAAGCAGCAAUCCACCAGAUCCUGACAGAGAACACCCCAGUGUAUGAACAGCUUUCAGUACCUCAGAGAUCUGUGGGCAGAAUUAUAGGGAGAGGUGGAGAAACCAUUCGUGCCAUCUGCAAGAGCUCUGGGGCCAAAAUCACCUGUGACAAGGAAUCAGAAGGGACAUUGCUACUAACACGACUCAUAAAGAUCUCAGGAACACAGAAGGAAGUGGCAGCAGCCAAGCAUCUUAUCCUAGAAAAAGUUUCAGAAGAUGAAGAGCUUCGGAAGAGGAUUGCUCAUUCAGCAGAAUCCAGAGUACAGCGCAAGCAGCCCAUCAGUGUCAAGAGAGAAGAAGUGGCAGGGCCUGGGGGAGCUGGGGAACCAGCCUUUCCUAAGGACAUGAGCACCAGCAAGAAGCUGGUCCCUCCAUUGGCUACCACUCCUAGCCAAGGAGGAGGAGAUACAGCUGGGCCGAGACCAGAGUGGGUAGAACAUUCCCACAAAAAAAUACUUAGUGACAACAGCUGCCAGGAGGAUGUGGGAGUCCAGGCCAGUCCAGAGAUGCCAAAGUUUGAAAUCCCCAGCCCUGACUUCAGUUUCCAUGCUGACGAGUAUCUAGAAGUCUAUGUGUCUGCCUCUGAAAACCCCAACCAUUUCUGGAUCCAGAUUAUUGGCUCCCGCAGCUUACAGCUGGACAAGCUGGUCAACGAGAUGACCCAAUACUAUGAGAACAGUCAGUCACCUGAAGACCUGACCGUGCACGUGGGUGACAUUGUAGCAGCACCUUUACCUACAGAUGGACCCUGGUAUCGGGCCCGGGUCCUGGGUACCCUCGAGAACGGGAACCUGGAUCUCUACUUUGUUGACUUUGGAGACAAUGGGGAGAGCCCGCUCAAGGACUUGAGAGCUAUCAGGAGUGACUUCCUAAGCCUCCCAUUCCAAGCAAUAGAAUGUAGUCUAGCAAGGAUUGUUCCCUCAGGUGAGCAGUGGGAAGAAGAAGCCCUAGAUGAGUUUGACCGCCUCACUCAUUGUGCAGAGUGGAAGCCUCUGGUAGCCAAGAUCUCCAGCUAUGUGCAAACAGGGAUUUCUACUUGGCCAGAAAUCCACCUUUAUGACACAAGCAAUGGACAGAAUCUUGAUAUUGGGCUAGAACUAGUGCGCCAGGGCUAUGCAGUUGAACUCCCCCAAGACGUGGGAGAAGGAGAUGCCGCUGUCCCUGAGAUGCUGCAGGAUAUAUUGGCCACAGAGACAGAUGCCUCUCUAGACAGCCUGUUGUCUGAGGCCAAGAAGAGCCCUGGAGAGACACCACACACACUCUCAUGCCUCAGCUUAUCAGAAGCUGCCUCAGUUUCUGGUGAUGAUGGUGUCCUUGCAGAAGACGACUUGCUCUGAUGUCUGUGCUCUGGCUGGCUCAGCCAUCUGCCUGCUGUGUGAGUGGGGCUCUGAUUUGUGUCUUAAGGAGCAGGAAAACGGAAGUGGCAAAGUAUGGCAUGGGAGCCUAUGACUGGAGAGAGACUCGAAUUCCACAGAAGAUACCCCACAUUUCCUCCUUUGUGGACUGCCUAUUAAUAGGCCUGCUGUGAACCAAAUACAGCUUCUACUAGCAGAAUGAAGAACUUUUCAGAAAAAGACUAUAUAUGUGUGUGCGUGUGUAUGUGGCUUAUCAGAUGCUGCCUUAGAAGGGCUUCCCUUAGCACUGCCCACAACCACUUUACCACUCUGCUGGGUGUUUGGUUGGAACUGGGAUGGAAAACGUUGAUU